AAGGACCUUUGACUCACCUGUAUGAGUGCUUCUCGGUGGGUUUUCGGCGCUCUCUUUAUCGGCUAGAUCUCCUCGGAUGGAUUUCCAAGCAGAGCCACAUCACCAAACUCUCCCGGAAACAAAACCUGCUCUACGCUGAUUGGACGACACGGUGAAAAAUAAUAACGCAAUGAUGGCAAGGCACGACCAGGCAGUCAAGCUGAUUGUCAGCCGUGGCAGGCAGCUGGGGCGAAGCCUGGCGUUGCUGGCCCACUACGUGACGCUCUUCGCAGCCUUCGCGGGCCGCUUUGUGCAAUGGAUGGCGGGCGCCGGGAGUUGGACCACGCACCUCACGCGCUGCACACUAUCCGCCUUUGACGGCGUCUACACGCACCUGCGACGCGCUUUGAGGUGGAAGACCGAAGUGGACUGACCAUCACACUUCAUCUCGUCUUUUACCCUGUGAAGUUGAGGCCUUAUGAUCGCGUUUUAUGGGCUCUUUUAAUCCAUUUAUGUUACAUUUGUAUGAGUAGUUUCAUCAUUUUGGUGAUGAAAGACAAUGCCUCUGACAGGUAUGAUGUGUUAAAAUACAUAAUUGUCAUGACACUACUACAAAAUCAACCCCCCAAAAUGAAUUGAUAUUAGUUUUGGGAAAUAUUGGGACUUUUAGUUGGAAAAACACCAUGUUGUCAUGGCAUCUUUGACGAUUGUAGCACUUAGACAGCAUUCAGUCAGGACUGGGAAUGUCUUUGUGGCAGCAACACUGAUUGAUGAUUAUACAAGUUUCCUUUUUUUUU